rnacentral:rRNA from 1 species
UGGGGAAUAUUGCACAAUGGGCGAAAGCCUGAUGCAGCAACGCCGCGUGAGUGAUGAAGGUCUUCGGGUUGUAAAGCUCUGUCUUUUGGGACGAUAAUGACGGUACCAAAGGAGGAAGCCACGGCUAACUACGUGCCAGCAGCCGCGGUAAUACGUAGGUGGCGAGCGUUGUCCGGAUUUACUGGGCGUAAAGGGUGCGUAGGCGGAUGUUUAAGUGAGAUGUGAAAUACCCGGGCUUAACUUGGGUGCUGCAUUUCAAACUGGAUAUCUAGAGUGCAGGAGAGGAGAAUGGAAUUCCUAGUGUAGCGGUGAAAUGCGUAGAGAUUAGGAAGAACACCAGUGGCGAAGGCGAUUCUCUGGACUGUAACUGACGCUGAGGCACGAAAGCGUGGGUAGCAAACAGGAUUAGAUACCCUGGUAGUCCACGCCGUAAACGAUGAGUACUAGGUGUAGGAGGUAUCGACCCCUUCUGUGCCGCAGUAAACACAUUAAGUACUCCGCCUGGGAAGUACGAUCGCAAGAUU